CAGUUGCGUUCAAUUUUGUUUAGUGCAAUAAAUCCACUCAUUGCAAUUCGUCCGUAGACGUAUCCUGCACCGUUCAACGAGUCACCAGGGUGGUCCCUUCACGCUACGAAUCUGUCUGCCAUCCUGAUCCAACAGUCUCUUCCUCCACUCCCUCUGCAGAGAAGGGCAUCACAUGUCAGGAAAGGGUCAAAACUGGAAAUCUGCAGCAGCGACAGGCUAGACUGGAGAAGUACAGACAGAAGCUGACAGCCCCAUGCCCCUUGUUGGGAGUUCAGCCCAUGGAAUGUUCUGUAGGAAAAAGGAAUGGUGGAGAUAUUUUAGUUACAUUUUGUUCUCGGUCAAAACCUUCUGAAAUAUAAAUCUGCUGAGUGUUGAGAAUGGAGACAGCGUUCAUAGAGCUUGAAUGGCUUUCAUUUAACUAGAGGAUCCCACAGAAAAGAGGCGCUUGUUCUGACAACCAUGUUUUUGGCUUCCUUUGACUUAAAGAAGAAAAAAAAAUCAAAUCCCUGUUUACAUAUCCGAGAGGAUUGUUUUAUGAACAAAGACACGGGUCAAAUCACAUCGCAGUGGCUUCUGCGACAGCAGAUAGAAACAUUUCCAGAGUGACACACAAAUACUUCUAAGCCUCAGCCGGAGCCCACGGCAAUGGUUAUGGGUUGGUGCGAUGAAACCAUUUGCAGUUACGAUUCAAUUGUGAAUGUGCUUUUCCCUCUGCAGUGUAGAAGUCUUUUUUUUAAAACAGAAUUCCAAUCUCCUGCCAGCACACAUCUUUAUUCGGGCUUCACCUAUUUGCAUAAUAGGGAACGAAUAUGAAUAUAUAUUCAUGUAUGUGUGUAAUCAUAGAAGUCAUCUUUAUCUUGGUUUCGCCGCAGCAGAUUACUUUUUCCCUCAUCAUGGCACCGGGAAUUGUUUCCAAUAGUGGAAGUUUCAUAGUUACCCACAAAUGUGACUUUUCCAUGUUGACAGAUCCCACAGAGGGUUUGGAGACAGUGCUUGUGGCCAACGGGGCUGCACUUGUGAAGUGAGGGCGUUCUGAAGUUCAAGUUCUGAGCGGACCUCCACUCUGCACCCUAGGAGCAGAUGGUGUGUUGUUCUGCGUUGGGUUUCGAAAGCCCAGAUCCUCUGGCAUUGGCCUGGGACGCAAUGGAAGUGUAAAUGCUCUCAUUACCCACUACCGCCCUGAAAGCUCUCAGCACCCUGUGGUCUGUGGAUCUUGAGACUCAGGCUUCUCAGGGAGGCUGAGCAUUUAAAGAAGAGUUUAAAAACAUUUAGGGCUGCUGACCAAGCCCCUUAGCAAUCACCUGAGCUAGGUUUUUCUCUUCAUUCUAACUCCUAGACUCUUGAUUGUACGUCUUAGGUUUAAUUUCCAUUCUUUGCCUUGUGUUACUUUACCCUUCAGUUUGUGGACUUUCAUUUUGAAAAUAAAAUCUUCUCCUCAUUAAUUACUCCUCCAUGACUUUGAUGUUGCUUCGAGACUUGGCCUCACAAAAUCCAGGCCAGCCUGGAACUGGCGAUCCUCCAGCCAUCGCUUCUAGGUGGGAACCACCACACCCCUGCGUACAGAAACUUUAAAA
ensembl:lncRNA